rnacentral:rRNA from 1 species
UACAGAGGUCUCAAGCGUUGUUCGGAUUCAUUGGGCGUAAAGGGUGCGUAGGUGGCGCUGUAAGUCAGGUGUGAAAUCUCGGGGCUUAACUCCGAAACUGCAUUCGAUACUGCCGUGCUUGAGGACUGGAGAGGAGACUGGAAUUUACGGUGUAGCGGUGAAAUGCGUAGAUAUCGUAAGGAAGACCAGUGGCGAAGGCGGGUCUCUGGACAGUUCCUGACGCUGAGGCACGAAGGCCAGUGGAGCAAACGGG